ACCUCGCCCUUUCCGAGGUCCGCCGCCGCGUGUGUAGAAGUCAUGGCCGCUUCUGUCCGCCGUGCACUCACUGAAAAGGCUAGGGCUUGGGGUGUUGGCAUGCCUUUGGCACCGGUUGAGACGUUGGGAAGCAGAGCUGGAGGUGCCAUUCCAGAAGUAAUGGCAGGAUCCCUAAGCAUAAACGGACCGGUGUGGCCACCAGUAAGACGGAGGAGAUAGAUGGUGGGCAUCUGCUUGAUGCGGUAGUUCUGAAGUUCACCUGUAAGAACGCAUGUUGAACCAUGAGUCCAUUUCGAUUGGAAUUGGCUCCUAGAGACGUCAUCAUAAGAUGUGGUACGUAAGGAUCUUCACGGUGAUGCUGUGUGUGUGUGGUAAGAGCUUCAUAGAAUUGCAGGAUUGUGGUUGCCUAGGAUUGGUCUGUUAGAUUUGGGGUUGUAGGUGUUGCAGGAUGUGAUUGCUCUUCACAUAGUGCUCUCAUAAGAGGUAAAAAGUUUGUGAACACAAAAUUAUCCCCCGCUCUGCCGCCACGUAGAUUGAGGCUUAGCAGAUUCUCCUCAAAGUUAUAUAAGCAGCUAUUGGCUUCCAGGGGACAUCUUUUUUUUUUAAAGAUUUAUUUAUUUAUUAUGUAUACAGUGUUCUGUCUUCACACACCCCUGCAGGCCAGAAGAGGGCACCAGAUCUCACUACAGAUGGUUGUGAGCCACCAUGUGGUUGCUGGGAAUUGAACUCAGGACCUUUGGAAGAGCAAGCAGUGCUCUUAACCUCUGAGCCAUCUCUCCAGCCCCUCCAGAGGACAUCUUAAUUGAUGCUGGAUGACUGUCCUUCAAGGCACAGGGCAGCCGUUAUAAGGACUUCUGCACCCAGCAUGUCAAUACAGCUGAAGCUAAGAAACUCUUAGAAAUUGCAUUUUACAUAUUGGGGGGGGGGUGGAGGGGAGAUCAAACCUUUGAACCUGAGCCUUGUGCAUAUUUAGAGAUUGGCAAACACAUGCCAUGGCACACUCACAUACAAAAGAAACAGUCAGUUUUUUCUCUCCUUUACAUACUGAGGCGAAAUUGCAGUUUAGAUUAACUAAAGAUUUGGGCCUGCUGGCUGAGAGUGACCCAGAGCCUUGUAUCUUUUGUAAAGCAGAAUUAGUGGUUCCCAAACCUGGAUGUAUCUCAGAACACCUAAAAAGUGUUUCCUGGGUCCACCUCUGCCAGUGGAUGAGAAAGGUUCUAGAAUGGACUCCAGAACCUUGUGGGAGGUCUGAGAACAGGCAUGCAGAAACUCUUCGAUGAUCUGUUCUACUGUGUGUUCCACUGUGAGUGCUGGGAUUAAUGUGAAGGUGCAGGCUGAAUCUCUGGGGCAGAAAGGGGUGCUACAGCAGCCACACAGGUAACCAUCCUGCACCUGGACUUGCGCCUAGAUCAGAAUGAUGUGGAUAGGCGGCAGCACUUCCUCACGCAGCUGGGUGGAGGGGAGCAUCUGCUUUUGAUUCCCUUACUCUGACUGCUGAGUGGUUUUGUUUCUUCUCUGGGUUGUGCAAGGUGAGAGGCUCUCUUGUGACGAAUAAAGCAGUUGCCUUCUUCUGACUCCCCCCCCUCUAAUUUGAGAUAGAGUCUGAUUGUAAAGUCCCGUUUGGCCCGGGACUUGCUAAGUAGACCUGGUUGAUCUCUCCCAGAGGUCCACCUGCUUCUGCCUUCCAAGUGCUAGGAUUAAAGGUAUGUGUCAUCAUGCCUGGCCCUUCUUUGUGAUUUUAUGUUCCCAUUUUGUGUUCCAAAAAAGCCCAUAAGCCUAUGAUGGAUGGUGAGUUAUCCCUGUCUGAAAAUUUCAACUGAGGGAAAAUACUCUGUUCUGAGGCUUAGGGGUGUGGCCCCAUGCUUGAAGAAAUUCGAGCUUUAUAAGGGAUCAAGUGGACUCCAUAAAGAGCUGUGUGUGCCCUGCUGGGACAGCCUUCCAAAACCUGUGGUCCGAUGGCCCUGUAAUCCUCUCCCUUGAGUGAAGGUUCUGAGGCUGAGGGCAGAGCCCCCGAGUUGUUAGCAGAAACAGGCCUGUUGCCAGGGCUCAUUCUGUACUCAUGGAGUGAAAUGAAAGGGGGUUUGUCACAUACUUCUAGAAAAUGAAUGUGCUCUUUGGAAGGAGGCAGGAAUGUAAGGCCUGUGCCAGCUUGUGCCUUGAGAAUGCCUACUGACCCUGUCCUUGCCUCUGCAGCAGUCCUGACAUUUAGGAAGGAAGGUGCUUGAUACUAUUUAGGUCCUGGCUAAAUGUCGUGGCUGCUUGAUGGGCACCAGAGGAGCAAGAAAGCAGCAAGUGGCGUUGGGGUGGUGUGGGCGGCCUCGGUAACCCUGUCUCGGUGGGUGGUGGGUACAGGCUUUCUUAACUUCCUCACCUAAAGUAGCUGCACUUAGGUGGGAUUUACUGAGCCCUAGCUGCCUACAGGGAAGCAGGUCUGCCUGGCUUUGCUCCUGGGUGGACUCAGGUUCAUGUCCAGAGGCAGUAAGUUGAAUGUAAAUAUUCCUGCUGCUACAUGGGAGUUCUUUUGACCAUUACCAGAAACUUAUGUCUCCUUAAAAACAAAACAAAACAAAAAAGCCAACUAGUUCAUCAGCCUGCAUUGGAACUUUGACAUGACAGUGCCCGCCUGUGCUCAGUGCACAGAAUGCCUGGUAAAUGAUAGUGGCAUGAGCCCGGGCUGAUUGUACUGGUUUCCAAAUUCUUCAGUUUUGAGUCACUAAGUUAGCAGGCUGUUAGCUUCACUUUUUUUUUUUCUCCAGGUUAUUGCCCUGUAGUGCCCUGCCGCCGCCCUUAAUCUCCCAGAGAGUGUCAUCAGAAGACCUUGGAGUUUGAUCUGCAAAAGUGGCCAGCAGAGUCAAGUGACUGCGAUCACCCUGGGAAACCUCUGGCAGCCACUGAGUGCUCUCAGUUGGAGGCACCAGGGAGGCAGGUGCUGUGUCUAAAAAAGCAUUUCUCACAGUGGAUUUCCUGAGAAAUCGGGGUUGGGCUUUGUGUUUUGAAGCACAAAUAAACUUUGUAAAAUUUAACUCA